CAGUAAGUGACAUGUGCCAGAACACACCCCUUAUUUUGAAAUUGAUGAGCUGAUUUGCUAUAAUUUUAUACAUUUAAUAUUUUUCCCCCAUUUUUAAAUAUUCAAGCAUAAUUUAAAAUUCAUUACAUAGGCCUAAAUGAAAUAUACUUUAUGUACGAUGUCCUGAAAGGAAACUACCAAAUAAAAUGUAUUAUUAUUAUUGACAAUUAAUUUUAGGUUCACCCCCCCGUUCACAAAAAUGGUUCGCUCCUACAGACAGUGAGUCACAUGGGCGUGGCCUGCUAUAAAAAGCAGACCGGCCAUUCAGUUACUGUUCGAUUGAGCAAACCGAGUGACCUAAGCGAUUUUGAGCGCGCUGUGAUCGCCGGCCAGCCGGCCUCCUGGGCUAUUCACGCAUGACAGUGUCUGGGGUUUACCGAGAACGGUACGACAAACAAACAACAUCCAGUCAGCGGCAGUCCUGUGGGUGAAAACAGCUCAUUAAUGAAGGCGGCAGUCCUGUGGGUGACAACAGCUCAUUGAUGAGAGGUCAGCAGUCCUGUGGGUGACAACAGCUCAUUGAUGAGAGGUCGGCAGUCCUGUGGGUGAAACAGCUCAUUGAUGAGAGGUCGGCAGUCCUGUGGGUGACAACAGCUCAUUGAUGAGAGGGUGGCAGUCCUGUGGGUGACAACAGCUCAUUGAUGAGAGGUCAGCAGUCCUGUGGGUGACAACAGCUCGGUGAUGAGAGGUCCAAGGAGAACGGCAAGAAUCGUGCAAGCUAACAGGCAAAUAACGGCGCAGUACAACAGUGGUGUGCAGAUAUGCAUCUUGGGAAUGCACAACUCGUAGGUCCUUGUCACGGAUGAGCUGUUGCAGCAGACGACCACACCGGGUUCCUAUCAGAUAAAAACAACAAGAGGCUCCCAGUGGGCACGUGAUCAUCAACACUGGACAACUGAGGAGUGGAAAAGCAGUGCCUGGUCCGACCAAUCCUGGUUCCUGUUGCGUCCUGCUGAUGUCAGGGUUUGGCGUAAGCAGCAUGAGUCCAUGGCCACAUCCUGUCUGGUGUCAACGGUACAGGCUGGUGGUGUAACGGUGUGGGGAAUGUUUUCCUGGCACACGUUAGGGCCCUUGAUACCAAUUGAGCAACGUGCCCAUGCCCCGAAGAAUUCAGGCUGUUCUGGAGGCAGAGGUACUCACUUUGGGUGCUGUUUAUAUUUAAGUGCAGGAACUCUGUAAUACUGUUGAGAUACUAUUCUAGAAUAGAAACAGGAAUUCCAAUACUGUUGAGAUAAUAUUCUGGAAGAGGAACAGGAACUCUGCAAUACUGUUGAGAUAAUAUUCUAGAAGAGGAACAGGAACUCUGUAAUACUGUUGAGAUAAUAUUCUAGAAGAGGGAACAGGAAUUGGACUUCCUGACGGGCCGACCGCAGGCUGUGAGGAUUAGCAUCAGAGGCCCCAGGGGUGUGUCUUCAGUCAUCUGCUGUACUCUCUGUUCACCAACGACUGCAUGGCUUUGCACCACAUCAACUCCCAUCAUCAAGUUUGCAGGCCUGAUAACCAACCUGUCUUACUUAUUGAUGUCAUGUUAAAUCCACUUCAAUCAGUGUAGAUGAAGGGGAGGAGACAGAUUAAAGGAUUUAAGCCUUGAGACAUGGAUUGUGUCUGAAGGCCAA
ensembl:lncRNA